GCGCGGUUAGCUCAGUUGGUAGAGCAGCGCUUUUACACAGCGAAGGUCAGGGGUUCAAAUCCCUUACCGCGCA
rnacentral:tRNA from 1 species